UGAGGAAUAUUGGUCAAUGGGCGAGAGCCUGAACCAGCCAAGUCGCGUGAGGGAUGACGGGUCCAUGGCCUGUAAACCUCUUUUGUGAAGGAAGAACCUCGGGGACGUGUCCCCGCCUGCCAGUACUUCACGAAUAAGCAUCGGCUAACUCCGUGCCAGCAGCCGCGGUAACACGGGGGAGUGCGAGCGUUAUCCGGAUUCAUUGGGUUUAAAGGGAGCGUAGGCGGCCCGACAAGUCAGCGGUAAAAGACUGCAGCUAAACUGUAGCACGCCGUUGAAACUGCCGGGCUAGAGUGCAGACGAGGUUGGCGGAACAGGUGAAGUAGCGGUGAAAUGCAUAGAUAUCACCUGGAACCCCGACAGCGAAGGCAGCUGACCAGGCUGUAACUGACGCUGAUGCUCGAGAGCGUGGGUAGCGAACAGGAUUAGAUACC
rnacentral:rRNA from 1 species